CGCCCCGCCCUCGCCUACUUCGUCAUAACGUCAACGCCCCACCCUCAGCGCCGCGCGCGUGGGGCCUCCUGGGACUGGUAGUUCUGUAUGGACUUGGAAGCAUCUGCGGGGGCCUACCCUGCCACUAGCACCUGCAGCUUUCAGGGUUCAGCACCAUUUCUCAUUUCGAGGCACUUGGAAUCUGACUCCUUCCCCUAGAUGGUGCUAUUAACUUAGUUUUCUUCUUCAGGACCACCGACUCCCGCUGAGAGGUCAUUUACUGUAUUCCCUAGGCUCUGCCGAGUAUCCUCUCUGGGAUCAUAGAAUGAUGGUGACACAGUGUGCCAUCUCCCGCUUCUGCGCCUUUGCAUGGGGGUUCCCCACUUUGGAAUACCUUCUUACCUCCUCAGCCUCUUGGAAACUCUUCUUCAUUCAAAGCACUAAGUAGGUGCCGCCUCCCUUAGGGACCUUUCCUGAUCCUCUCAGUUAGCGGUAGUUCCCUCUUGAAAUUAUUUUGUAGAACUAUAUAUAAGUGUGGAUAGUGGACAGAAAGCUGAGCCAGGCUUUGAAGCCAGCAAGUCCUAAGUCCUAGUGCUUAAAGAAUGAUACCUAGCCCACACUAAGCACUUAAUAAAUUCUCUGCUUCUCUCUCCUUCGGUCACUGUUUCUGGAUGUGCCUCUACUCUUUCCUCUGAUACACACUCUAGGAUCGGAAUAAGUCACUUAUUUUCUUAGAUAAGUCUAUAAAAGUUGCCAACCUCCAGUAGUAGAAGGAGUUCCUUAUUCAAGUGAAUAAUCCUUAUUUCUAUCUUAGUUUUCACGUGUUGCCUCCUUGUAAGAUCCUUGAGGGCAGAGAACGAUUUCAUUUUUGCUUUUGUAUUCCCAAAGCUUAGCAUAUUAUCUUGCACAUAGAAUCUGAUGAAUGCCUUGUUAAAUUGAACUGAAAGAGAUAUCAGAGAUACUUCAACCCCAUAAUUUUUAAAAAAAUUAUUGAUGCCUUUUGUUUUACAUCACAGUUAUUCCCAAAUAUGCAUACAUCAUACACAGAGUCCCCUUAAAUGAACAAAAAUAGGCAAGCAAAGAUAGUGAUACCAUCUCUUACAAUGUAUGCAGCAUCUUACCUUAACUCUCCUGCCCCCUACAGUGAGGAGACAGGUAGGCUUCAUUACCUAGUCUCUAGGAUUCAGUGUUCUCAUAUUACAGAGGAGGAAAUAUCUUCAAAAGAUGAAAGAGAAUCUCUGCUCUGUUAAAUCUAUUUUCCUCUUCAAUGCAAGACCUAAAAAGCUUCAUGAUACAUCAAUUCCAGUGUUACACGCCUGUGCUAUGAGAAGAAAGGCAGAGAGAUCAAUGGAAGAUAGGUAGUAACAACCUAUUGCCAUCACUUUUAUCACCAUGCUAGAUCCAAAUGGGGCUGAUUUCAUAUGCUAUGAGAUCAUGCUAAACCAAUCUUGUUGACUCCAUCAAAUAUUCUGGGCCAGGGCUGACUCAGGCUGCUUUAAGGGGUAAGGCUCAGGAUUGGAGCAACAUGAGACAUUCAUAGGCCAUAUAACAGUCAAAAAGAAUUUGCUUUACAACAUCAAGGAAAAUAUGCUCAGCAAUAGUAUUGAUUCAGAAACGUUUUUGGAACAAGCAAGCAUCACUCUACCAAGAAACAGUAAAAGCCAAUAACAGGUA